UGGUGCAGCUUAGUCCCUCUUGGUUUUCAUUUCAGCUACAGUAUAUUAACAACCAAGCAUUUGUAGAAACACUCAUAGCAAUUUUAAGUGCAAUAGAGUAGCUGUGAAAUGCCUAUCAGAGACAUCUGCAAAGAAAUACAGAAGAGUGCAAGGUAUCAACUGCCUGAAGGUAACAACAGUUAUUAUUUCAUUUUCCUUGCAGCAUUGAAUACUUUUUAUGUCUACUAGCAGUACAAUGUGUCAUCUAAACUGCUUGCUAAGUUCACUUGACAACAAUCAAUAAUCAUAAACAAAUGCAAUGAUUAACGUUUCUUGAUCAGUAGACUUCAACAUGCCAUUGCUUGUUCUUUUUGAGUUGUGAAAGCUUCUGCUCCCAGCUCUCACCUCUCCUCUCAGCAACCCUCUUCAGGGUAUCUUGGAUUCCGGGCAUCAUCCCCUUCAACCCACAGAAGUACAUGUGGGCCCCUUCAUCCAGCAGUUUGAAGAUCUCAUCACUGUAUUCCUCAAUUUUAUCCUGGACAUACAUCUUUCCCCCUUUAUUGUUCUUUUGUUCACGGCUAAGAGCACGGUCAUAUCUGAAAUUGCCUGGGUAGUCAUUGAGAUACUUGGUGAACUCAUCGUCAUAUAGAAGGCUGUCAGUGUUUGCAACCCCAAGGAAAAGCCAAGCAAGGCCAUUAAACUUAGUUGGAACCGAUUCCAUGAACAUACGACGAAGGUAGCCUCGGAAGGGAGCCACACCAGUUCCAGUUCCUAUCAUGAUGUGUGUCGCAUUUGGAUUAUCUUCUGGUAGAAGCAUUAUCUUACCAGAAGGACCUGCAGAAACAUCCAAAGGGUGGUCAAUGGCGGACAAAACUGAAUCUCAAGUAUUUCACCAUAUAUAUGCAACCCACCAACAAAUUAUAAGAAUCCAAGUGCCAAAUGACAGAGACUAUUUAGAUGUAAAGUAUCAACAGGAGUUUUAAUUCUCAGCACGGUAUCUUAUUUAUUAGAAGCACAUGGUUAGAGCAAAAGGUGACAGUGUAGGAACACCGUUGAGUUAAGAAGUUCUUUAUUUGGGAAGUUUGUAACUGCAAAAGGGUUAGUUAUGCAAAAGUUAAAUCAAGAAGGACCAUACAACAGACUAAGGGAAGGGUCCUUUCUAAAUAAUAGCAAGGAAAUCACUAGUACAAAAUAGGCAUUUACGGAUUCAUCAUAUGAUUAGAGAUAGUCAAGGUAAAAAAUUCAAGAGAGAGUGCCAGACAAAACUCUGAUGCUUACUCUCAGGGGUUGUUUGAUUACCGGGAUAAGAAUACUAAUCCCGAGAUAGAAUAUGGGAUAGUGCCAGACAAAACUCUGAUGCUUACUCUCAGGGGUUGUUUGAUUACCGGGAUAAGAAUACUAAUCCCGAGAUAGAAUAUGGGAUUGUAUUUAUAUGUUUGGUUGUGGGUAUUCGUUAAUGGUGGGAUAAAUUUUAUAACAAAAUGGUAGGAUUAGCUAUCCCAUUUAGAAGGUGGAUAGCAAAUCUCAUGGGGUAUCCUUGUUUAUCCCACAAUUGAACCAAACGACUAGGAGUAAAAUAAGCAUAGCAGCUGGAAUUUACAAGUACACAAAGAAAAGGCAGAUAUCUUCAAUCUGUUAGGUGUACAACCUAAAUGGUCUACUGAACAACAUAAUCUCCUGUUGAAAAGACAAUUUUCAACACUAUGUUGCCUACAAGAUCAUUUCUUUUUCACUCUUUUAAAAUCUUGGGAAAACCUACUCAUUGGGCCAAAAUGCAAUUAAGGUGAUCAAAGAUGAAAAUUUUGGAAUGCAGUGCAUGGAAGACGAGUAGUGUUUGUAUGUAAAGUCUUCUUUGAAUAACAUCGGUAAAAGGACUACUUGGAUUUAACCUGUGAUCUUCACUUUGUCACCAGGCUUUGAGUCGCACAGAAAGUUGCUGCAAACACCAUUUUUGGAAGGGUCUUCUUUUCCUGUCUCAGGAUCAUAGUAGACAGCUCGUCUGACACACAAGCUGGCCGUUUUCCCAUCAAAAGAGUCCCCAUAUCUGGUGGAUGCAAUUGAAUAUAGACGAACAUUGUGGGGACUGCCUGGUUUCUUAGGAUUUUCACCCUGAAAUGAGUUAAGAUGUGAGGCUCUGAAGACUGAUGGUCGUAGAAAUUAUACUCAGCUAUUAGCAAGGAAGAAGACGAGCUUGUUAUUAGAAAAAUCAGAAAAUUAGGUUAAAAGCAUGAUUACAGCACAUUUUCUAUUUUCACAAUGCGAAUGAAAAGCCCAAACCACAAAAAGGUUCAGUUCUAAUAUUAACAUGCAUAAGCUUCAUUUCACGUAGCCAAGAAGUUAAUAGUACCAAUUAACAAAGCAUCUUACUGUGCAGGAGUGGACAUACAUUAAUCAUUUACAGCAUGACAGGGCAAAGACCGGAUGUAACACAGUACAAUUUUUGGGCCAACUUCUGUCUAUUGGGAUGUCAAAAGGGAAAAGUAGCAAAAAUGACAACAAAUUAAUUGAUGGAGUAGGAAAUAUUUGAGACAUGGCUGCAACUCUGUCUUUUAAUUGCCAUCAAACAAGAAAUAAGCACUCAUUCAAAUAGACAAUCAAGCAAAUGAAAGAACAUUACAGCCAGCAUAUUAAUGACAAAUCACAAAUGUCUUGCUAGUAACAACAAUGCAUGUGGUUGUCCUUCAAAAUGAAGUCCAACUAAUGGAGAUGUGUGUAAAGCAAGCAGGAAGAGAAGACAUGGAUUUCAUUCAAAAAGUAAUAUGACUGAUCAUAUAUAGAUUCAAUCAAGGCAAAACGACAAAGCUUUUCAAAAG
rnacentral:lncRNA from 1 species